GUUCCCAUGCCGAACACAGCAGUUAAGCUUCUUAGCGCCGAUGGUAGUGAAGGGUUUCCCUUUGUGAGAGUAGGACGCUGCCGCGC
rnacentral:rRNA from 1 species